rnacentral:rRNA from 1 species
UGCCAGCAGCCGCGGUAAUACAGAGGGUGCAAGCGUUAAUCGGAAUUACUGGGCGUAAAGGGUGCGUAGGUGGUAUGUUAAGUCAGAUGUGAAAUCCCCGGGCUCAACCUGGGAACUGCAUUUGAAACUAGCAAACUAGAGUAUGGUAGAGGGAAGUGGAAUUUCCGGUGUAGCGGUGAAAUGCGUAGAUAUCGGAAGGAACACCAGUGGCGAAGGCGGCUUCCUGGACCAUAACUGACACUGAGGCACGAAAGCGUGGGGAGCAAACAGGAUUAGAUA